rnacentral:rRNA from 1 species
GUAAGGAAUAUUGGUCAAUGGACGAAAGUCUGAACCAGCCAUGCCGCGUGGAGGAUGAAGGUCCUCUGGAUUGUAAACUUCUUUUAUAUGGGACGAAAAUGGGGCUUUCUAGCUCAACUGACGGUACCAUAUGAAUAAGCACCGGCUAACUCCGUGCCAGCAGCCGCGGUAAUACGGAGGGUGCAAGCGUUAUCCGGAUUCACUGGGUUUAAAGGGUGCGUAGGUGGAUUGGUAAGUCAGAGGUGAAAUCUCCGGGCUCAACUCGGAAACUGCCUUUGAUACUAUCAAUCUUGAAUAUUGUGGAGGUUAGCGGAAUAUGUCAUGUAGCGGUGAAAUGCUUAGAUAUGACAUAGAACACCAAUUGCGAAGGCAGCUGGCUACACAUAUAUUGACACUGAGGCACGAAAGCGUGGGGAUCAAACAGGAUUAGAAACCCGGGUAGUCC